UACGGAGGGUGCAAGCGUUAUCCGGAUUUACUGGGUUUAAAGGGUGUGUAGGCGGGCUUUUAAGUCAGCGGUGAAAUCUCCGGGCUCAACCCGGAAACUGCCAUUGAUACUAUUAGUCUUGAAUUCUGUUGAGGUAGGCGGAAUAAGUCAUGUAGCGGUGAAAUGCAUAGAUAUGACUUAGAACACCAAUUGCGAAGGCAGCUUGCUAAACAGAUAUUGACGCUGAGCACGAAAGCGUGGGGAUCAAACAGG
rnacentral:rRNA from 1 species